CAGUCGCCGCGGUAAUACAGAGGGUGCAAGCGUUAAUCGGAAUUACUGGGCGUAAAGCGCGCGUAGGUGGUUUGUUAAGUUGGAUGUGAAAUCCCCGGGCUCAACCUGGGAACUGCAUCCAAAACUGGCAAGCUAGAGUAUGGUAGAGGGUGGUGGAAUUUCCUGUGUAGCGGUGAAAUGCGUAGAUAUAGGAAGGAACACCAGUGGCGAAGGCGACCACCUGGACUGAUACUGACACUGAGGUGCGAAAGCGUGGGGAGCAAACAGGAUUAGAUACCCCCGUAGUCCCUGUCUCUUAUAA
rnacentral:rRNA from 1 species